rnacentral:ribozyme from 15 species
GGAGUCGGUGUGCUGCUGCCGCUUCACGGUGAGGAAAUUCCCACCACCUCGGAGUUGGUGGAUGUAGUCCUCAGGUAAACAACACAUAUGCGCGAUCUCGGGUGGACGGAGACCAUGCGCCAACAUGCGAAAGACGAUGUC